AUAUUUCAGUAAUUUGAUUUUACUAUCCAACAUUUAAGUUAGUCAGUGGAAAUAAUAUUUCAAUAUAUCAUGUACUUUAUACGAUUCUUACAAUUAUAAAUUUUUUAAAAUAAACAAUAAGCUUAAAUUUUAAAAUUAAAGUAUCGUUGACUGAUUUAAAUCAAAUAAAUUAAAAUAUGAGAUAGUAAAAUUAAAUUUUUGAAUAAUUAAAUAGCUGAUUCAAAAUAAUUUAUAGUUUAGAUAAGUUUCCCAUUUAUUUACUUAGUAAGAACUCCUCUAACUGUGAGAAAUUAUUGUUUGCACCAAGUGCAUCUCUCCGCCUCAUGUACUGAUGCGUUUUAUCAUCUAAAAUAUCUACUUAUGACAAAUUACAAGGUUUGGAAAUACGUCGGUAUUGCAUUAAGUAAUCUAAAAAAUUAACUGUUAAAAAGUAAUAUUUAAUUUGCGAUAAAGAGAUCCCAAAUAAUGCAAUCACUAUUUUGGGCUCAACUACAGGCCAUGUUGUAUAAGCCUCUCAAUUAUACAUACAUUUUUUAUGGACACGUUCUUGAGUUUUAUAUUUUAUUUAAAUUAAUUUUAAUUAGUUAUAUUUAAAAUUUCAGUAAAUUAAUUUUUAAUAGUUUUAUAAAUUAUUUGUCGAUAGUUGUUUUAAUUUUUAGAGAAAAAGGCGACAAAAGUGAAAAUCAAUGCCGAGACAACUCAGACUCGUUGUUUACGAUUCGUUUAAGUUGGAAAAAUAUCAUGUUUGUUUCCGUACGUAAUAUUACGUUCUGUGUUUGUUUUCGUACAUAAUAUCGCGUUCCGCAUAUCGCGACUCAAUACGAUAUAUUUUCUACAGUACGCAGAAAUAUAUCCCUAUAUAUUUUUUCCUCAACUCCAUUUUAUCUAAUAGCAUUAGAUAAAUCUCAAUAUCAAACUAAGCCUUAGAAAUUCACAAGUGACAAAUUAAACCUUCUGAAAAGGAUAAAAUUCAACUAUACAAUAUGCGCUAUAUUUUGACUCAAUUUUUUUGUGGGUUGAAAUUUAGUUUCGAGUUUGAUUCGAUUACAAAGAUCGUAAUCAAAAUCAAACCUGUUAGACAUCCAAUCAGAGUUUCCGAACCCAAUCCGGACCAAUCAAGCUUUAACUAAAACCGUUCCACCCGUUCGAAUUUGGGUUCGGAAAAACGACAAUUAGUGACAUUGUUUGAACCUGCACUUUGCAAUUUUUUCUCCCAUUCAUACUCACCCUACUUCAUUUUCUAAUACAAAUACAAGAACACACCCUACAAACACUCAACCACUAUAUUUUCCUAACCAAGUACUAGUUUUAAGAAAAGUGAGAAUCUUGUCCAGAUGUUAGUAGGUGACAAAACCAUUCUGGAAUAUACCAUCAGAAAAAGACCCUCCCCAGAACAAAACAAAUUUGACCAAAGCUCAUUUAGGGGCUAAACAUUAGGUAAUAAUCAAACUGGCAACUGCAUUUACUAAUACAAGGUCAACGAUGAGCAACACUAACUAACAUUCUGAGUAGUUUCUAAUAUUCAAACUCAACUACAAGCAAAGUAUUUGCGAUUUGCAAAACGCGCACUAACCAGUCUAUAAAUAUACAACAGUUGCAGGAUUUUGAGAUUCUAGAGUUGUGGAGAGGCGAAAGAAAUGAAGACCCCCUCAACAAGCCUUCUACUUCAAUCCCUCGUGUUUGCAUCAGUACUGACGGUUGUUACAGCAGCAUCAGAUGAAAAAAGAGGUGACGAGUUACGACGAUCGUCCCCACUGCCACGGCUGCCAUCUCUCGGCUGUCGGGGCGACUUGCAGCCUUUUCAAAGGCCGAGCCCAUAUGCGCCUCCAGCUCCAAAGCGUCCGCCGCCGAUUCACAACUUAGAGUCAUCUCCAAAGCACCUGCUGCCGAGGCACUACGUAACCGCCAUUCGGCGCUACAUAACUGCCAUUCGCAAGGCGCUGACUCUUCAAUUGGAUUGAUGCAUAGAUCAACUGAGUGUAUGCACCCGGCCAAAUUGAUCUUUUAACUCUUUUAGGAUACAAGGUAAAGUGUGUUGUUGUUAUUCAUGCCUAAGCUUUUGUGUUCGAAGCACUUGUAAUGGCACAUCCUCAUCAUCCUAAAUAUUACAGUAUCCGAAGUUUUAGGGCACGUUUGGUAAUCAUAAAUCACAAUCGUAAUCGUGGUUCGUAGGAACUCACGACACCGGACUAAUAAUAAAGCUAAGUCAAACAUGCUGAAGUUAGAUGUACAUCAACAUAAUCUAAGCAAAUAUCGAUACUCGUGAGUUCCAUCGCAAUUCCGCUUCAGGAGCACCCCCACUUCACAAGAAACAAACAUGCCCUUACUCUAGUACGAGAUGAGCUUACAAAAAAAAAAAAAUCGAAUUCUCAGAGUUGCCACUUUUUUUUUUUUUAAAGUUUUUCCUCUUUUUUCCCCACUAACUAAAUGCUUGUGAACUCAAUUAAACCUUUUUUCUCCGAACUAAAUGUUCAUGAACUUAAUUAGACUUUGUUGUGCACUAUAGACUUGGAGGCCUUGUCUUGUUUUAAAUUUGGGGACCUUAUUCUAUGUAUCUUCUUUGUGUUUUUAAUUUGCUUAGAUUUGGGAACUAUUCUAAAAAUCUCCCAGUUUACAUUGGGCACUUAUUUUAUCCUUUUCCAUAACAUCUUUAAUGCAAAGCUCUACUUUCUAGAUGAAAAGGCUACAGAAAAUUCUUAAAAAAGAAAAAGAAAAAGAAAAUAUUACAUAUAGUUUGUUCAAUGUUAGUAGCAAAAUCUACAGGAUUUUACAUUUUACAAUAUAUUGAUGCUUGAUUGAUUAUGUUUGGUCUAAUUCGUUCAUUUUACAAAACUCUCAUAAAAGUGUUCGAAUUAAAAAAAAUUCAUGAUUCUCAUGCGAUUUUCUAUUUAUCAAAAAAUCCAACUCAAAGUUUCCAUAUUAAAAAAGAAACCACAACCUUUAUUCAUUAAAAAAAAAAAAAACAGAUUUUUACCAACCAACUAAAAUUUCAACCCCAAAAUAGAUUUUUAAAAAAAGCCAAAAUCAUAAAAAAAAGAAAAUUGGGAUAAAUUGUUGAAACAAUAAAAAGAAUGUGCUUAGGACUACUAGACCAGCUUCAAAGAGAAAGCAAUUUUUCUCUCAGCAAAUCUGAAGAGCAAAAGCUUUUGAUUUUUAUUCUCCGAGCAAAACAACACCUCCAAUAUCACUUCUAACUGGGACAAAGGGGCUGCCUGAUUCAUUGCUCGUUGCAUUAAAUUUAAUAAAACUAACAAUAACCAAAAAAUACAUCAUAUUUUUUCUUAAAGAAAAAAAAAAAAAGAAAAGGGGAAAAAAUAUCUCUCUCUAUAUAUAUAUAUAUAAAACCUGUAGAAACUUGGUUGCGGCUGUGAGGAUGAUGAGAAAUAUGAUGAAGGAAAAUAAAGGUUUGAUAUGGGUAUAUAUAGUAACAUAGAGGGGGAACCCUAGAUUGAGCCAAUUAAGGUGAAAUUACUGUUUUACCCUUCUACGUGAUCUUGGUGGAUCUAGCUAAAUCCAGUUACUGUACUUUUCUAUCUCAACAUCAUCUAAUAAUACGUAUGUAACUAGCAUGUUGGCCCCACUUUGCAGAGCCCAGUUGUGUGUUUUUUUUUGUUUUUUAAAGCCAUUAGAGAGUUUGAGAUAAAUGAUGAAAUUUUGAUAAAUUUAAGAGAAAUUUAUUAAAUCUGAUCAUUUAUUCUUUUUCAAAAAAAAUUAUAUAUUUACCAGGCCCACCUAUGCAGAUUCAUUCUCUCUGUGUUUAGGGGUUAGAAGCAUAAAAAUCGAUUUUCUGAGAUUUUUUUUUUUUCCUUUUCUACUAUUUUCGUUUUUCAGAUAAAAAAUU
rnacentral:lncRNA from 1 species